UGACGUUGGGAAAGCGAGCGGCGGAUGGGUGAGUAACACGUGGGGAACCUGCCCCUAAGUCUGGGAUACCAUUUGGAAACAGGUGCUAAUACCGGAUAAUAAAGCAGAUCGCAUGAUCAGCUUUUGAAAGGCGGCGUAAGCUGUCGCUAAGGGAUGGCCCCGCGGUGCAUUAGCUAGUUGGUAAGGUAACGGCUUACCAAGGCGACGAUGCAUAGCCGAGUUGAGAGACUGAUCGGCCACAUUGGGACUGAGACACGGCCCAAACUCCUACGGGAGGCAGCAGUAGGGAAUCUUCCACAAUGGACGCAAGUCUGAUGGAGCAACGCCGCGUGAGUGAAGAAGGUUUUCGGAUCGUAAAGCUCUGUUGUUGGUGAAGAAGGAUAGAGGUAGUAACUGGCCUUUAUUUGACGGUAAUCAACCAGAAAGUCACGGCUAACUACGUGCCAGCAGCCGCGGUAAUACGUAGGUGGCAAGCGUUGUCCGGAUUUAUUGGGCGUAAAGCGAGCGCAGGCGGAAAAAUAAGUCUAAUGUGAAAGCCCUCGGCUUAACCGAGGAACUGCAUCGGAAACUGUUUUUCUUGAGUGCAGAAGAGGAGAGUGGAACUCCAUGUGUAGCGGUGGAAUGCGUAGAUAUAUGGAAGAACACCAGUGGCGAAGGCGGCUCUCUGGUCUGCAACUGACGCUGAGGCUCGAAAGCAUGGGUAGCGAACAGGAUUAGAUACCCUGGUAGUCCAUG
rnacentral:rRNA from 1 species